UUGGACUGGAGGUUUAGAACAACACUAGACUAAAUCUGCACUAAGCAUCAUUAUCAGGUUAACAAGAGAAUAAACGUACCCCAUCCUAUAAUACAAAGCAGUGCCAUGUUGUGUCUGCUGAUGAGUACCAUCUAGUGUUCAGUAAGCAAUUAGAAUCAGAUCAACCAGUCUCAAUGCAGGAAUUUGUAUACACUGCAACACUGUAUUUUGAUAGGCCAGAAGGUUCCACUUGUCUAUAAACAUAUCAUUUUCUUUUAUUUAAAAACUGACAUUUGUAGUUCAGUUCAUAUCAGCUUUUCAGUGCAAAGGCAGCACAGUUUUUAAUCAAGUUAUUGUUUAUCCAAGAAACCACAUGUAGUGUACCUUAUGAUCAUUUUGAUCCUUGACUUCCCUGAAGAAUCGGAUAUCUUUGAUUAACUUUGGUAAACUUGAUUUGGACUGGAGGUUUAGAACAACACUAGACUAAAUCUGCACUAAGCAUCAUUAUCAGGUUAACAAGAGAAUAAACGUACCCCAUCCUAUAAUACAAAGCAGUGCCAUGUUGUGUCUGCUGAUGAGUACCAUCUAGUGUUCAGUAAGCAAUUAGAAUCAGAUCAACCAGUCUCAAUGCAGGAAUUUGUAUACACUGCAACACUGUAUUUUGAUAGGCCAGAAGGUUCCACUUGUCUAUAAACAUAUCAUUUUCUUUUAUUUAAAAACUGACAUUUGUAGUUCAGUUCAUAUCAGCUUUUCAGUGCAAAGGCAGCACAGUUUUUAAUCAAGUUAUUGUUUAUCCAAGAAACCACAUGUAGUGUACCUUAUGAUCAUUUUGAUCCUUGACUUCCCUGAAGAAUCGGAUAUCUUUGAUUAAUCUGGAUUUGAUAUGUUCGUCAUACAUGAACUGGCUAAAGAUAUAGAACUUUUUCCUCAGAAACUGGUGGAAAGUUCAACACAGCCUGCCCCAUUUUGUGGAUCUCAAAGAGACUCAACCUGAGCAACUUUCUUCCUAAAGAAAGGGCAAUUCAGAGGUCUUCCAGGACAUUUCUAAACAUCUUGUCAGCUGUGGCAUUUGCACAAAGAUCUGACUUUAUAUAGUAAC